AAUAACUGAUUAAAUUGUUCUCAUUGCAGGUUGCCAGCGUGACAUUUGACUUGCUUUUGCUGUUGGUACUAGGAUCAUACUUGAUUACACUUUUCAGUUUUCUUUUUAUCACCACCAGGGGUCUUGACGAUCUUAUUAGUCUAUUCCGUCGUCCCCCAUCACGGAAAGUAAAAGCUGCUUAAUUCCUAAAGCAGGACUUCUCUGCAUCAGAUGCUUGCAAAUCAAGAAGCAGGUGUUUCUUUUUUGUAACCUUAAGGAAGAUUGUCUUGACCUAGUUGCUUCCUAUUGAUUGGUGGUCCAACGAUCAUAUUAUAAACUUUUAGAAUUCGAUGGAAAAGUUCCACUUUUGCUUUGACAAAUCAAUAGGGUAACGCAGUCAUUUUUUUCGGCUGAGAUGAGGAUGUAAUUCUCACAGGCGGCUUUUCUCAUAGAAUUAGCAGUUCUAAAAUUUAAUCUUGCUGAUGUAUCAAUUUUGACAGAAUGUAUUUAUGUUCUGAAAAGGUUCAGGAGAAUUUGCUCUGUUGGAGGAUCAUUUGUUCGCUGACAAACUAGAUUUUUGUAUUAAUUGUCUUUCUUUGAAAUAGCUCCUUCCAUGUUGAAAGUAUGCAUAUUGUAUUGAAAGGCCACAUCUCGAAUUCAAACUGCAAAACGAGGAUAUUGGUGAA